GAUGAACGCUAGCUACAGGCUUAACACAUGCAAGUCGAGGGGAAACGGCAUUGAGUGCUUGCACUCUUUGGACGUCGACCGGCGCACGGGUGAGUAACGCGUAUCCAACCUUCCCAUUACUGUGGGAUAACCUGCCGAAAGGCAGACUAAUACCGCAUAGUCUUCGAUGACGGCAUCAGAUUUGAAGUACAGAUUUAUCGGUAAUGGAUGGGGAUGCGUCUGAUUAGCUUGUUGGCGGGGUAACGUCCCACCAAGGCUACGAUCAGUAGGGGUUCUGAGAGGAAGGUCCCCCAUAUUGGAACUUAGACACGGUCCAAACUCCUACGGGAGGCAGCAGUGAGGAAUAGUGGUCAAUGGACGGAAGUCUGAACCAGCCAAGUAGCGUGCGGGAUGACGGCCCUAUGGGUUGUAAACUGCUUUUGUAUUGGGAUAAAGUUAGGGACGUGUCCCUAUUUGCAGGUACCAUACGAAUAAGGACCGGCUAAGUCCGUG
rnacentral:rRNA from 1 species